UACGGAGGGUGCAAACGUUGCUCGGAAUCAUUGGGCGUAAAGCGCACGUAGGUGGCCUGUUAAGUCGGGUGUGAAAUCCCUGGGCUCAACCCAGGAAGUGCACUCGAAACUGGCAGGCUUGAGUACUGAAGAGGGUCGCGGAAUUCCCGGUGUAGCGGUGAAAUGCGUAGAGAUCGGGAAGAACACCAAUGGCGAAGGCAACUCUGCUGGGCCACGACUGACACUGAGAGACGAAAGCUAGGGGAGCAAACGGG
rnacentral:rRNA from 1 species